rnacentral:tRNA from 5 species
GCCUGGAUGGCGGAAUUGGUAGACGCGCUGGUCUCAAACACCAGUGAACGAUGAGUUCGUGUCGGUUCGAUCCCGACUCCAGGUA